GACGUAGGGCGCGAGCGUUGUCCGGAUUUAUUGGGCGUAAAGAGCUCGUAGGCGGUCUGUCGCGUCGAUCGUGAAAACUUGGGGCUUAACCCUGAGCUUGCGGUCGAUACGGGCAUGACUGGAGUUCGGCAGGGGAGACUGGAAUUCCUGGUGUAGCGGUGAAAUGCGCAGAUAUCAGGAGGAACACCGGUGGCGAAGGCGGGUCUCUGGGCCGAUACUGACGCUGAGGAGCGAAAGCGUGGGGAACGAACAGG
rnacentral:rRNA from 1 species